GCGUGCCGGCCAGUGUAAAACCACACGGCAACCACCAGCUACAUCACAACCAAGAUGGUCAUUAAUGGAAAAAUACUCCUGGGACCACUGCAGACUGGACCAUACUUAGAUGGAGACCCACUCUCCACAGUGACUGGUGAUAGGCGUCAUGCUGGUACGAGCGGAUCCGGCGCGGCAGCGACACCCCCGUGGUAACGUGUAGUGCUGGUAAAAGUAGCAGUUUAUUGCAUAAAAGGGGUGGAUGAGUGUAUAUUUGGUACAAGCAAUAUGAGAAGAGAUGGCUACACAUGCCAGAAAUGAAACCUGCCUUUCCCUCAUGUUGCUUUUAUAGUCAAGCCUUAAACACGAGCCUACUUACUUGGAUAGCAGUCUUUGGAAUACCACUCACAUUCCUGUACUUGAUUUACAUGUAUUAUUAUCUGUUUGUUUAAAUGUUGCAUUUAUAUAAGAUUCCAAGAUUGACUAUGCUCUGCACACAGCUGGAUAAAUGCAUGUGUUUUUUUAAAACCAACCCUCCUCAUGUCCCUGUACCUAACUUCACAGUGCAGAAAUGUAAACAAUUUAUGUGCCAUUAAAUAAUAUUUACUUGCAUGUAAAAAGACUACAGCAACAUCAUUUAUCUAUUAGUCUGACAUUUAUGCUUUGGAAAACAAGCACAGCCACCCCAGGGAAUCUUUUGAAAACAUUCAAAGGCGAUUAUGGCGCACGGAUGUGGGCAAAGUGUUUCUGUAAUGCAGAGCUGUAGAUAAGAACAUCUACCAACAUCUCCACCACUCAUUACAGCGAGACGCACACAUGAAUAGAAAGGAUGAGGGUGAAAUACAGGAAACACCUCCCAACGCUGGAGUCACAAACAUCAGAUAAGAAGCCCUUCGGGUAAUCAGAAUGACUUCGCAACAUUUGUUGUUAAUUCACCCUCAAUAAGCAGACUGUAAAUUAAUUGUUUGACACUCAAUUUUACUUUUUGUUUACAUUUACAUAUCAGAUGCAAGAGUCCAAACAGCACUGAAUCAGCAGUGCCUGUUGUAGGUACAGAACACUGAAACAAACUGUCCUGGUCCUUAUUCAAAAGAUUUUUUCACUAAACAUUGAUCUACAUAGCAUCAGUGGUGCCUG